rnacentral:misc_RNA from 1 species
CAAGAGCGCCGAAAGGCUGCUUAUAACCAUCGCGAACCUAUCCAUCAGCGUUGCUUCGGCGGGAGCGCUCGCGGGACCGGAUCUUGUCCGGGCCCCGGGCCGUGGACCUGCGCCCUCCGGGGUGUGGGGCCGCCCGCCGGAGGUACGAAACUCUGCAUCUUUGUGAUAUCUCUGAGUAAACAAGCAAAUAAGUUA